rnacentral:rRNA from 1 species
AGGGAAACUUGGGCUAAUACCGCAUGAGUGCAGCGCAUAAAGCAUCUUUAGGUGGGUGUUUUAUGCGUUGCAUAAAAGGUGGCCUUCGGGCUGUCGUUUGAGGAUGAGUCUGCGUCCUAUUAGUUAGUUGGUGAGGUAAUGGCUCACCAAGGCGAUGAUAGGUAGGCGGCCUUAACGGGUGGCCGCCCACACUGGGAUUGAGAUACGGCCCAGACUCCUACGGGAGGCAGCAGUCGAGAAUAGUCUACAAUGGACGAAAGUCUGAUAGUGCGACGCCGCGUGAACGAAGAAUCCCUUCGGGGUGUAAAGUUUCCUUUUAUAUGUGAGCAAUGCUUUUUAUGUGAAUAGCAUGAGAAGAGAGAUAUUAGCAUAUGAAUAAGCAACGGCUAACUCCGUGCCAGCCGCCGC